GUGCUCGCUUUGGCAGCACAUAUACUAAAAUUGGAAUGAUACAGAGAAGAUUAGCAUCGGCCCUGUGCAAGGAUGAUGCAAAUUCAUGAAUCAUUCCACAUAUUU